rnacentral:rRNA from 1 species
UACAGAGGAUGCAAGCGUUAUCCGGAAUUAUUGGGCGUAAAGCGUCUGUAGGUGGCUUUUCAAGUCCGCCGUCAAAUCCCAGGGCUCAACCCUGGACAGGCGGUGGAAACUGCCAAGCUGGAGUACGGGAGGGGGAGGGGGAAUUUCCGGUGGAGCGGUGAAAUGCGUAGAGAUCGGGAAGAACACCGGCGGCGAAGGCGCUCUGCUGGGCCGACACUGACACUGAGAGACGAAAGCUAGGGGAGCGAAUGGG